UCGUGAUUGACCGCUGUUUCUCUCUGCGGAAAGAGUUUGAAAAUUCAAAAAACUUGGAAUAAUUUCAAGAUAGAGAAUAGGAUAAUUAGAUUAACUACGUGGACCAGAAUAGUUCAGCGGUGUUCGGUUAAAUUUUAAUUCCAAUUGUUCACGAAAAUAGUUUUGUUUUGAAACACUUUUUUUUAAAAAACUAUUGAUAAGUAUAUCAUCAUCAGAGUAAAUAAUUGUGUGGCAGGACUAAAGCAGUGUUUCUCUGUACAAUUUUUUCAAAUAUUUCUGUAUCGCGUAGUGGUGACGUAGGGUCCCUAGGGCCACCAUAUUUGUCACUAGAUCAGUCCGCUAACAUUCAAAUUUCAUUGAAUGAAGAAUAUCAGGAACAUCAGGAAGGAGCAUACCAUGUGAAAUCCAGUAGUAGGAGUGUGGCGGAUAUGACGUCACGAAAGUGUACAUUUUUCACAUUGGCGGGUGAUCUCGAACCACAGUACAGCGAGGGCAAUAUCAUAGGGCGACGUCAUAGAAAAACUCGAGAUAAAUAUUUGCCAAGUGAUCAAUGAUAAGCAGCAGAGAUGGUGAGGUUUUCUGCAUGUGAAUAUUUCCAAAUAACAGGCCCCAAUAAAUCCUCCGUAUCUCAUACGUAUUUUAGACAUUUGCAAAAAACUCGAAGAGGCGGCAAGCAUGGAUAAAUUUCAUCGAUUUUCUCAACUGGCAGCCGUCUAAUACUACGAGGUUAUGUUCAAAACACUUUGCCACAACAACUAUAAUAUCCCGCCUAUUAAAUUCUGCGAACCCCAUCAUGGACAUCAAACGCUAAUAAUUUGGAAGGGUCAGUUUAUUCUCUCACGGGAAAAUUCCGUGAUUUGCAUAGCCCAACCCUGCAAGGACGUCAUCAGAGUAGUUUUUGGUGGCAAGGACGAGAUAUGCAUCCUAUGCGAUUGAGAGAAAAAUCUUCUUUAGAAGGAGAGGCUCAAUCAUGUUCGCAAGAGAAUAUUAUAAUUUCUGCGAAAUCAACAGUAUUCAACAAAUCAACGUAUAGAUCUAGACUUGAUCGAAUUGAUUUAGCUGCUCGUCCAGUUUUCAAGGAUCAUUCCAAAAUCUAAUAGAGCGGCAUUUUCAUCAAAACCAUUUUGGCAGAUGUCCUUCUGGUUUACAAGAGACCUUCAAGAUAUAUUUCACUAUCUCCCUAAAUGUUGAGAUAGUUGUCAAAAACUUGAUGAGGGCUGAAAUUGCCUCAGUCUGAUUGAUCACUAUGUAGAAGAAUCCAUGGUAUGUAUAGUGAAUGUGAAAGAAAUUAUUAUUUUUUGAUUAUCAUUUUUGUAACCAGCUCUUAAUCUCCUAUAUCCCGUGCGACUCCAAUAUUGCCUUAAUCAUCCAAACCAUCUUGGAGUUAUUUUCCUUCUUUUAAUGAUGAUAAAAGAAAACUUCUAGCAGUAUAUAAGUUCAAACAAUUAAUGAAAUCGGAGCUGGGGCCCCUUUUCUUAACAUUUACAGAAAUUAUUAAUUUGUCAAAGAUCAAAUUGCCAUACACAAUUAGACGAGUGUUAGCUUUCGUUUAUGGUAAAUUAGAUCCAUCUACGGCACCAUUCGCAAUAAGUAAAUGAUAAGCUUUAUGGAUUUAUUGAUGUUGGAAGCUAAAUAAUGAGUAAUAAAGUUGAGAUUGCUAAAGAAUCAUUAGUUUUCACGAUAUGGAACUAUGACGAGAGAGUUUAAAAUUUGUAAACUUGACAAAAAUCAAAUUGAACACCUUAAAAUUGUAUUCGUACUUUAUGGGAUGAAGCUUACCAAAAAGCUCAUUCAACUAACUCCCCUUUAACUUGAGAUAUUUCGAUGAUUCAAAUUUGGAAAAAUGGCUUUUAAAUGUGCCUACCCGGUGUUCAUAUUACCACAUCAUAUUAUCCCUAUAGACACAACAGAGACAAAUUUUGUUAUUUGCUGACUCGCAGUGUUUUCUCGCAAAAAAUGCAGGUAGCAAUCAUCGUUUACUGUUUUGAGUUGAAAUAGUUAAAAUUACGGUUAGCAUCACAACUCAAAUUCAAUCAGUAGCGAGUACAGAACAAGUGAUAAAUAAUUUUUUGUUGUUAGAAUCCAUAAGGCAUCGCUUCAUGGUUGCUGUAAGGGUGGUGCACUGACAUCAGAAAGUUAAAUGAAAUUUCAAUGUACAAUUAGUGGAUGAAGAAACGUUAUUGGCGUGAGAAAGUUAUGAGAUCAUGUAGCAAUACAAAUUUUGUUCCUCGGUGAUCAAAUCUUGAGUGAAUUUCGGGGGAAUAUGAAUCAGAAAUUUCACAGUGGUAUGAUUUGAUGGCUCGUAAAUCACGCGUUCAAGACGAUGAGAACACACAAGUACGAUACUCGCUUUAUCUACUUGCCAAUCGGCUUCCCGUUCGUCGACCAAUUAGGCAUCAUUAUUUUCAAGCUUCAAAAAAGUAUUAUCUGACGUAUAUGUGAUUAUAAUUUUUCCAUUUGGUUCAGCUUAUACACUCACAUUUGUCAGAUAAUAUUUUUCAGGCCAUGUACUGAGAAUAACCACCAAUAUUAUGUCACAUGUAAAUAAAGUUUCUUGCCAGACUGUAUUUUUUAUUUCAAAUUCCUUUUUUUAGAUGCAAUUUAUUGCAUUUCAACUAUUAAUAUCAACAAUCUCAAACUUCGCAUAGCAAUCCAGAAUAUUUUGCAUAAUUUACGUUAAAAUUUUCAUAAAAUCUACCGCAUGUUUUUCCGUCGCCCCAAUAGCGUGAAAAUUUAAUAACGCGUUAUAAUUGAAUAUGUAGAAUAUCGCUAUUUUUUUCAAAUCCGUUUUUGACCUACAGCCCAACAAAUGUUGUUAGAAUGUAUGUAUUAAGACUGAAAAAAUGUGUAUUGAUAACUUAUUGGUUCUAUCAGAACAUGAUAGUAUUGAAAUAAUAUUACUACUAAUAAAGUAAUGGCUCAGGGCUCAUGAAAAGGAAAAAGAAAAUUUAGAGUGUACACUCAUUCUGCAGCCGUGAAAACCUAAUGAAGAACCUAAUGAAGACAGAUCCAGGAAGAUGAAAGAUACUCUAAAACGUGGAAAGUGAGCAGCAAGAGAUACUGGUAAGAGAACAUGGUGGCAAUGCUGAAGGAACCACCAGUUAAGAAAAUAUGCGACAUAAUAGGAAAACUGGGGAAAAUCCUGAGAGAGAGGUGAAGUCUACGGUAAUGUCUAGACUCUAGACUACAGAAGUGGGAGUAUGAUGAAAUAAUUAAGGGUUUGGUGAGCCGAACUUGGAAGGGAAGGAGGGCCGAGAUCUCUCCUAACAGGACUUUUCCUACGAGAAGCUCAAGGAAAAGAGAGUUGGGCCGGUUGCAAUCAUUGCAAAUGGAGGAGGUGACACUAUAAGGAGCUCCUGCAACAUCACUCAUCGUACAGAGCCUGUAAAAUUGCUGCAACUUGUUCAAAAGAAGAAUAAAUCAUAAUAAUGAUUAAAAUAUUCAUGUCUUUGGUCAAUCCUCAAAGUUUUUAUAAAAAAAUCAAUUGUUUUACCAGUUUAUAUAACAAUGAAUAUUUAUCAAAACUAGGAAAUUCUUACGUCACAUUUAGGAGAGAUCCAUGAGGACGAAUCCUUUAUCAUAAAAGAGAUUGACAAUGAAUAAUUGUUUUCAUUGUUAAUCUUUUAUUCUUUUUCCUGUUGGUUGAUGGGUCGAUUGAUCAUUUCCAUGAUUACGAGGAUGCUAUUGUGUACUACAGCGAUCACAUAGAGGUAAAGCGCGCCUAAUUGCCUAAUAGAUGCAUAAAUUAAGCAAUUAUUAAUAGCAAAUUUAGCAGGGAAAUACUAAUUUUUACGAUGAUGUGUUUUUUAAAUGUGAACUAUAUGAAAUACCUGGGAUUUUGUAAUAAGCAUUUUUUGGAAAAGUGAAUAAUUGUUUAAUAAAUAAUUU